UUAUAUAUAUUCCGUGUUAAGCAUCUCUUCAUUGCAUCGUGUCGCACUCCCUGACUGACUGAGAGUUAUUCUGGUAGACUCUGUGGCAUCAUGGGCUGGAAGUGGCAGAUGGUGGCGAAGGUGGCGGUGGUGCUGGCGGUGGUGGUGGAGCCGGGGAAAGUAGAGGCGAAAAAUUGUGUGAUGCCUCCUCCUAUUUCUGGUCAAAGGUGUAGUAUCUUCGACCUAUUAAAUCAUCACAAAUUAGACGGAGUGAAAAGAAUAAAGGAUCGUCAACCCAAAAGUCUUGAAACCUUUAUAGAGACUUUUGGGCAUGUCAUGGAUACCACCAGACAAGUAGUGACUGAAUUCAUUAAUAUCGUCCACGAAAUAGCAAAGAAAAUCAAAGAGACGAAAGUGGAGGCGAGAAAUAUAAAAGUGGUUCCCAUUGUUCGCCAGCCUCCUCAUCCUCCUUUUUAUAGUCAUGACGACCCAGCAGUCACUCACAAAGGAGACGCAGCGAAAGGAGGAAAGAGUCGUCAAAGCAGAAGUCUUGAAACCUUCUUAGAGUCCUUUGCGCAUGGCUUAAAUGCCGCCAAGCAAAUACUGACAGAAUUCUUUACUGUCGUCCACGAGAGAGCAAAGAAUGACCGAUAUUCGAAAAAAACACUAGUCAAACAAAUCACAAGACAGUGAAUAUCGUGAACACUGUCGCCAGAAAAUAAAAGAGUAACAUUAAUUGCAUUGAUCUGUCCACUGUCGCCAAGCCAAGAGCUGGGCCGCGUCACCCUAAACACCAAUGUGACCACCUGACGCCAAGCUUCGUCUACACCACCUACAUGUAUGUGCUGCUUGAGGAGCGCCUCCAAGUUAUUGCCUGACUCUCAUUCCUUUCAUGCCUCCCGCUGGUUAACUCUGGAACUCUCAACCUGUUUCUGAUUUUAUUCUUUUUUUUUUUUCGUAAGAGACUCCUUUGGUAUACAUUUCUCUAGUUAAAUCUUGAAAAUGCUACACUGAUUACAAUUUCAUUUAUUUGUUCUCUUGACCAGACUCCUCCAAACAUAAAGAAAAUUAGAAUAUUAAGAAUAUUUUGCACGCAAUCCUGGAAUUUGACAAGAUACUUGAUAUUGUCUCCCUAUUGUUUCUUAAAUGUGGACUUAGUGUGUGCUGCCUCGACAGUCUGCAAACACUCUUGUGACUGUGUGCGUCGGGAUUGUCUGGUAUCUACUCCACGAGUGACGAGGCUGUUCAGACACACUUGUGGGUCUAUCAAAUAUGUCAUAACUAACGAUAGAAUUUAAAGCACAGGCAAAUAAAUGGAUAAACAUUAA
rnacentral:misc_RNA from 1 species